GGUAGUCCAUGCCGUAAACGUUGGGCGCUAGAUGUAGGGACCUUUCCACGGUUUCUGUGUCGUAGCUAACGCAUUAAGCGCCCCGCCUGGGGAGUACGGCCGCAAGGCUAAAACUCAAAGGAAUUGACGGGGGCCCGCACAAGCGGCGGAGCAUGCGGAUUAAUUCGAUGCAACGCGAAGAACCUUACCAAGGCUUGACAUACACCGGAAACGGCCAGAGAUGGUCGCCCCCUUGUGGUCGGUGUACAGGUGGUGCAUGGUUGUCGUCAGCUCGUGUCGUGAGAUGUUGGGUUAAGUCCCGCAACGAGCGCAACCCUCGUUCUAUGUUGCCAGCGGGUUAUGCCGGGGACUCAUAGGAGACUGCCGGGGUCAACUCGGAGGAAGGUGGGGAUGACGUCAAAUCAUCAUGCCCCUUAUGUCUUGGGCUUCACGCAUGCUACAAUGGCCGGUACAAAGGGCUGCGAUACCGUAAGGUGGAGCGAAUCCCAAAAAGCCGGUCUCAGUUCGGAUUGAGGUCUGCAACUCGACCUCAUGAAGUCGGAGUCGCUAGUAAUCGCAGAUCAGCAACGCUGCGGUGAAUACGUUCCCGGGCCUUGUACACACCGCCCGUCAAGUCAUGAAAGUCGGUAACACCCGAAGCCGGUGGCCUAACCCUUGUGGAAGGAGCCGUCGAAGGUGGGAUCGGUGAUUAGGACUAAG
rnacentral:rRNA from 1 species